rnacentral:rRNA from 1 species
CACGUAGGGCGCGAGCGUGUCCGGAAUUAUUGGGCGUAAAGAGCUCGUAGGCGGCCUGUUGCGUCCGCUGUGAAAGCCCGGGGCUUAACCCCGGGUCUGCAGUGGAUACGGGCAGGCUAGAGGUAGGUAGGGGAGAAUGAAUUCCCGGUGUAGCGGUGAAAUGCGCAGAUAUCGGGAGGAACACCGGUGGCGAAGGCGGUUCUCUGGGCCUUACCUGACGCUGAGGAGCGAAAGCGUGGGGAGCGAACAGG